GGAUGGAGCUCAGUGGUAGAGUGCUUGCCUAGUAUGCACAAGGUCCUGUGUUCAAUCCCCAGUGCUGACCA
rnacentral:tRNA from 1 species